AACAACUUUCAGAUUUGAUCUUUGCUUUGCUUCACUUUGGUAUUUUUGCAGAUUCACUGAUGAUCCACUAGUUAGUAUUACUGCUACCAACUGAUUGCUUCCUCAAUCGAUAUUAUUAUCAUCAAUAAUUUGCUUUUCAGUGAGAAAGAAAUUAGUACUGGUCCUUAGUGAACAUACUCAAAAAUCAAGCUCCUCCUUCAAUAUCUUCAGCCCAAAAAUCUGAAUUCCAAAAUACACGCUAGAUUUGUGCACCUUGACUUCACGCCUGCUGCAGAGGGAGGAGAGGGUUCAUGACCGCACUCUCUAGUUAAUGACAAGAGCUUAAAAUUGAGCAGAGCU